rnacentral:rRNA from 1 species
AAGUUCCUACGGGAGGCAGCAGUAGGGAAUUUUCGUCAAUGGGCGCAAGCCUGAACGAGCAAUGCCGCGUGAACGAGGAAGGUCUUCGGAUCGUAAAGUUCUGUUGAAGGGGAAAAAGAGCGGAGAGAGGAAAUGGUCUCCGAUUGAUAUUACCCUUCGAGGAAGUCACGGCUAACUACGUGCCAGCAGCCGCGGUAAUACGUAGGUGGCGAGCGUUAUCCGGAAUGAUUGGGUUUAAAGGGUGCGUAGGCGGACAGUCAAGUCAGCGGUAAAAAUGCGGUGCUCAACGCCGUACAGCCGUUGAA